rnacentral:rRNA from 1 species
GAUGAACGCUGGCGGCGUGCCUCAUACAUGCAAGUCGAGCGAAGAGGCGACGGGUGAGUAACACGUGUAUAACCUCAUAUAAGACUGGGCUAACUUCGGGAAACCGGAGCUAACCCCGAUACUUAUAGCUGGUUCCGCGCUGCAUUAGCUAGUUGGUAAGGUAACGGCUUUCCAAUGCAACGAUGCAUAGCCGACCUGAGAGGGUGAUCGGCAAUACUGGGACUGAGACACGGCCCAGACUCCUACUGGAGGCAGCAGUAGUGAAUCGUCGGCAAUGGACGAAAGUCUGACCGAGCAACGCCGCGUGAGUGAUGAAGGUCUUCGGAUCGUAAAACUCUGUUAUUAGGGAAGCGGUACCGAAUCAGAAAGCCACGGCUAACUACGUGCCAGCAGCCGCGGUAAUAC